rnacentral:lncRNA from 1 species
GACCAGUACAGUUCAAACCCAUGUUGUUCAAGAGCCAACUACACACUGGCAUUAUGGGAUCUUGCCACCAAUGCUCCUGUAUAGUGUAAAAGCACAGCUAAACAUCCUGGGAGCAUUUCAGAAGAGGAGCACCUCAAUUUGGUUACCUAUUUUCUGUGAAGUACUCUUGAACAUAAAAGCCUCUGAGUGUUAAUUGACACUUUCACCUUGAAUUGGAGAGCCUCUAUAAAUGAUCAUCAUUUUCUUUUAAAUGUCAUGUUGUGCUCCUCACAUCAUUUUAUCCAGCUUUCCUCGUUUCUAAAGGAAACACAGUAAGAUUACAUGGACAGAUUGCUUCCAUCAAUGACAAUGUACAUGAAAUGCAAUGACAAGAGCCAAGCCAUACUUUCUUAACAUGACUUUAGUUCAGAAGACUGCCAUGUGUCCUGAUACCAAUGUGAUUACUGUGGAAGAAGCAGAGAGUGAAUAUUGGGAGACAACCAGCAGACUGUCUUCCAAUCAGAGACCUUCUAGUGAGAACUUCUACAACAAUCCAGUGAAAUAAGGAAUACGACAGCAUCUGGCAUACAUUAUUCUCUAAUUCAAAUGUUUGGUGGAGAAGUCAAAAAGCCUCAAGCCUAAAAAUAUUGGAUUUGUCAAUCCAUAAGGUACAGGGCAUCUCAAUUUUCUCUGCUAUUUCUCUUUUCUCUAACAACUUCUCAUAUCACUCUUUCAAAGACAUUCUUUCAGAGGAGCAAAACAAAAUUAAU